UGGCUGUCACCUUAAUUUAAAAAGAUGAAAGGUUGGUGUUAAACGUCCAGGGAAUAAUAUUACAAACUGACUUUCUUACUAUUAAUACUGAUAAUAAUUACAAACUGAAUUUCUUACUAUUAAUACUGAAGAUAAUCUUUUCUGCGUGAUGGUAUCAAAUAAAGUUAACAGGACCUAUUCAAAUAUCUGAGGAUCAAAUACACCUGAAAAUCAUGAAAGUAACUUUGGUAAAAAAAAAAAAAA
rnacentral:lncRNA from 1 species